GAGUGUCACAAUGACUCUGAUGUGGGGAGUGCUGACCUCAUUUAACAGAGGAGGAAGCUGAGGCCCAAAGAGAUUAGGUGAUUUAUUUUGGCUUCUACAACUGGAACUGAAGACAGUGACAGCAGGAAAAUGACUAGUUAAGAAACCAAUCACUUGCGGCUUCAGAACAUGAGAGAAAGAGGAGUGAGUAUUAGGCUCACUGUAUUGGUCUAGAAGCAUGGCAACCACAGAAGAGUUAAGGAUGACUCCCACACUAUAAAUUGGAGCAUUUGGACAACAAUGAAGCCACUUUAUUAUACUAAAGAAGUGAAGAGGAGGCCAGGUAUCAUGGAUCAUAUUUGUAAUACCAGAACUUCAGGAGGACGGCUGGAGCCCAGGAGUUCAAGACCAGCCUGGGCAACAUGCUCUUCUCAAAUUGCUCUUCUUGAAGUCACCAUGUUUCCAAGCCUAAACAUCAGCAGUCAUUGCUUUCCUUGGCCUCCUCAUUGAGUCACCAAAUCCUGACUAUCCAUCCUUUAUAAGACCAUGGCAUUUGACCGUUGCUUUCCAUUUGCACUGCCACUUCAAAAGUCCUUUUUCAGGCAAAAAACAAAACAAAACAAAACAAAAAGACUCUUUAACCUAUUUCUAAGUCUUUGACCCAUCUAUUCACUUCCUGAGAUUGGGUCUUCCUACAAAAUCAAUUUGAUCCCGUGAUCAAAAGCCUUCAGUGCCACCCAACAUGCCUUAACUCAAGUCCAAACCUUUGAAGCUGGUGUCCAGAUCCUUCAUGAUCUGGCUCCUAACAGCCUCUCUACUCCUCUGUUUUGCCAGAAUCCUUCACAUCUCCAUAGAUCUCACAUGCAAAAAAUGUGAAACCAUGUCUAAAGAAGUAAAGGAAAGUAUAUGAAUGAUGUUUUCCUUAAAAAAGUUAAUAGACAUAAAUCCUAAAAAGGAAACAAGUAGACAAUCUAGAACUGAAAAGUACAACAGCUGGAAUGAAAAUUUUACAAGAGAGACUCAACAGCAGAUAUGAGCUGGCAGAAGAAUGUAUCAGAGACCAGUGGGACACCAAGUGUACCAACAUAUGCAUAACAAAGUUGUAGGAGAAAGAAAGGAGCAAAAAGAAUAUUGAGAAAACUAAAUAUCCUAAAUCUGAUGAAAAAUACUAAUCUACACAUCUAAGAAGUUUAAUUAACUCCAAGCAGGAUAAACCCAAAGAGAUGUACAAUGAGACAAAUCAUAAUUAGUCUGUCAAAAGAUAAGAACAAAAAGAGUGAAUUUUCAGAGCAGCAAGAGAAAAGUGGCUCAUCACAUACAAGGGAUCUUCAAUAAAAUUAAUAGCUAAUUCCUUAUCAAAAACCUUGGAGGACAAAAGGCAGUGGGAUGACAUAUUCAAGAUGGUGAAAAAAAUGACAAUCAAUAAUGCUAUACCCAGUAAAACUAUUCUUCAAAAUUGAAUGGGAAAAUGUAAUCUUAUAUUUGGAAAAACUUAAAGACGACAAAAAAAAAACUAUUAGAACUCAUAAAUUCAGUAGACUUGCAGAAUACAAAAUCAGCAUACAAAAAUCAGUAGCAUUUCUAUAUGCCAACAGUGAACAAACUGAAAAAGUAAUCAAGAAAGUAAUGCCAUUUACAAUAGCUACAAAUAAAAUACCUAGGAAUUAACCAAAGAAGUAGAAGAUCUCUACAAUGAAAACUGUAAAACAUUGAUGCAAGAAAUUGAAGAGGACACGAAAAAAUGGAAAACUAUUCCAAUUUCAUGGAUUGAAAAAAUCAAUAUUGUUAAAAUCUCCAUACUACCCAAAGCAAUCUAUAGAUUCAAUGCAACACCUAUCAAAAUACCAAGGACAUUCUUCACAGAAAUAGAAAAACAAUCUUAAAAUUUAUAUGGAAUCACAAAAGACCCAGCAAAAAUAAAAUGUGGAGGAAUUACAUUACCUGGUUUCAAAUUAUACUACAGAGCUAUAGUAACCAAAAUGGCAUGGUACUGGCAUAAAAGCAGACACAUAGACCAGUGAAACAAAAUAGAGAACCCAUAAAUAAAUCCAUAUAUCUACAGUGAAUUCACUUUUGACAAAGGUGCCAAGAUCAUACAUACAUUCUCUUCAAUAAAUGGUGCUGGAGAAACUGGAUAUCCAUAUGUAGAAGAAUUAAACUAGUCCCCUAUUUCUUGCCAUAUACAAAAACCAAAUCAAAAUGGAUUAAAGGCUUAAAUCUAAAGCCUCAAACUACAAAACAACUAAAAGAAAACAUUGGGGAAACUCUCUAGGACAUUGGAGUGGGCAAAGAUUUCUUGAGCAAUACCCCACAAGCACAGGCACCAAAACAAAAAUGGACAAAUGGGAUCAAAUCAAGUUAAAAAGCUUCUGCACAGCAAAGGAAACAAUUAAUAAGGUGAAGAGACAACACACAGAAUGGGAGAAAAUAUUUCAAACUGCCCAUUUGACAAAGGAUUAAUAAGCACAAUAUAUAAAGACCCCAAACAACUUUAGAGGAGAACUAAUUAUUCAGUUAAAAAAUGGACAAAGAUCUGAAUAGUCAUUUCUCAAGAGAAGAUAUACAAAUGGCAAACAAGUAUAUAAAAAGGUGUUCAACAUUAUUGAUCAUCAGAGAAAUGCAAAUCAAAACUAUAAUGAGCUAUCUCACCCUAAUUAAAAUGGCUUUUGUCCAAAAGACAGGCAAUAACAAAUGCUACCGAGAAUGUGAAGAAAAGGGAACCCCCCAUAUUACAUUCCCUUUGGUGGGAAUGUAAAUUAGUACAACCACUAUGGAGAACAGUUUGGAUGUUCCUAAAAAAACUAAAAAGAGAGCUACCAUACAAUCCAGCAAUCGCACUCCUUAUGUAUAUACCUAAAAGGAAAGAAAUCAGUAUGUUGAAGAGAUAUCUGCACUCCCAUGUUUAUUGGAGCACUAUUCACAAUAGCCAAGAUUUGGAAGCAACCUAAAUGUCCAUCAACAAAUGAAUGGAUGAAGAAAAUGUGGUACAUAUACACAAUGGAGUACUAUUCAGCCAUAAAAAGAAUAAGAUUCUGUCAUUUACAACAACAUGGAUGGAACUGAGGUCAAUAUGUUAAGUGAAAUAAGCUAGACACAGAAAAACAAAAGUUCACAUGUUCUUACUUAUUUGUGGGAAUUAAAAAUGAAAACAAACAUAUGCAA